rnacentral:rRNA from 1 species
UACGUAGGGGGCAAGCGUUGUCCGGAUUUAUUGGGCGUAAAGAGCGUGUAGGCGGUUAGGUAGGUCCGUUGUGAAAACUCGAGGCUCAACCUCGAGAUGUCAUCGGAAACCAUCUGGCUAGAGUCCGGAAGAGGAGAGUGGAAUUCCUGGUGUAGCGGUGAAAUGCGCAGAUAUCAGGAAGAACACCAAUGGCGAAAGCAGCUCUCUGGGACGGUACUGACGCUGAGACGCGAAAGCGUGGGGAGCGAACAGG